UACUAAAGGCAGCACAUUUCUUAUGUAUAACAACAAUGCCACAUAAAUCUCUUGAGUUUUCCCAGUCAAAAGAGCAUGUACUAGCGGAAAAGUCUAUUACAAAAUAUUACAGAAUAGUUUAUCAAUUUAUUAAUUAAUUAAAUAGGUGCCAUCACAUCCAGCAACACGGACCUAUUUAUACAAAACAAUGAAUUAAUGCAGUUAGCUGUGAAGAAUUCUUAUUAAAUAAACAUACAUUUUGUAAUUCUGGCAUUAUUUCCUCAAUAUUUGCUGUAUUGCAAAACAACAACCCCUCAAUGUUGCCAUUCACCAUUAGUGGACCUUGAUAAAACCUACAAAAAUAUGGCGGUUCUUGGAAUGUAUGUGCAAACUGGCUGUUAUCUUUUUCUAUCAUUAACGUGUGUAGAUGGCUCACAUUUUGAGGAGUUGGUGGAAAAC